UACUCUUUCCAUAUCUGACCAAUCUCUAACCGAAUUCGGCAUGAGGUUGAUGAACUUGGAAAAUGCUGCGCCGGUUAAGGAAUGAACAAACAAUCGAAGCUUCUAGGCGUCGGAGUACUACUCGCCACAUUGGGCUUCGGUAGUCGUAAUUGGCGAGGUUGACUCAAGAAUUUCGGAGGACAUCUCGGCCUCUUUGUUCUUGAGUUUCGCAUGUGAUGAAGUUCCC
rnacentral:lncRNA from 1 species